AGGGACUGUUCUUACCUGGGACUUUGAAAAGCAUUCAGCCAAUCGGGUCCACAGGCAGCAGAACCCGUUCCCAAUUGGCUCCUCCCCAGACAGGAAGUCCCGCCCUCCCCCGGAAACGAUGGAGGCUGGACUCGGAGGAAGGCCGGAGCGGGAGAAGGAUUGCCACCGAAGGAGCAAAGAGUCUUCUAAAGACGUGGUUGUGGGUUCCAGAACAGUUUUGCUUCAGGCUACCACACUUUGCCUUAAUUGUGCACAAGAGGACUUGGGAUGAUACGUAAGUACACAUACGUUUGAAAGGAGCGUUGCUCACAAUAUACUUCAUUGAGAGGUGGCAAGAACAUCUCUGUUGAUAUGCCCAGAUUUUCACAUAGGCGCAGAGAUUUUUCAAUGUUACACUUCAUCUCAACAAAUUAAGUAGAAAGCUGUAUUUGUUUUUAGGGACGGCUCUUCGGUAUUGGCCUGAUAUCAUCAGUAGGCUGAACAGUUUCUAAUGUGAUCGAAGUUAAGCCUUGCUCUCCUUUACAGGAUUUGAUAAACAUGUUAAGUAGGCCAAAGAAAGAGAGAUUGAUGAAUAGGACGCAGGUCAUGUAGCCAGAGAGAGAUGGAAUAGAAGCAGACUCAGUUUGUGUUGCGGUGCUCUGUAGAAAUGGGACUCAAUCCCAAAACAAGCUUAAACAUGCCAACUUCAAAACCACACGGAGUUGGGUUCAGUCCCACUAUAGCUACUCACGUAUGUGUCCUAGUCCAAGCGACUUAAACUUUGAGCUUUGGUUUAUUCAUCCAUAAAAUAGGGUUAAUAUUACCUAUUUGAUAUGACUAUUUGGAGGCUUCAACUAGAGAUGCAGUGUUAUAAAUAGUCCCCAAGGAAGUCAUCAUUUACUGGUUUUUAUUUGUAUGAAAACUAUAUAGCAGGGAUACAGAAACAACUGUCAUUCCCCUGGUCACACAGGGUUUCUAAAUAUGAAUGAGAUCAGUGCCAGUUUCUAAUUCUUAAUCCACUUUGCAAGCAUAAAAUAAAUGUGCCCUAAAUAUUUAUUACCAGUAUAUUGCAUAGAGAUGUAUUUAUUACCUGUAUUUCUUUCCUGUAUUUAUUACCAAUAUAUUGCAUGAGAUGUUUGCAGCUAAUUCAGACUAUUUAUUGAUGCAGCCUAAAGAAUCCUGAUAUUCUGUAUCUCAAUCAUCUUAUGAUCUAGCUUUCAUCAAAUGUAAAUUACCUACCCAAGGUCACACAGCUAGUCAGUGCUAGAGUAUAGAACAGAAUAUAGGUCUUAUGACUUCUAAUCUCAGGCCUUACCUACCAAAUCACACAGCUUUUGAACACACUUAACAGGCUUAUCAUUUCCUAAGCUUGAGAAAAACCUCACUAAUAUUAUUAGAACAUUCCAGGUCUCCUUUUCCAUAUUCAUUUAUGUACACCGAUCGGCUCAUUCUUUUCAAAUGCCAGGGAUGUAUUGCUCACUAGAGGAACUUCAGUACCCAGCAGUCUUUAAUGUA
rnacentral:lncRNA from 1 species